UACGUAGGUGGCGAGCGUUGUCCGGAUUUACUGGGCGUAAAGCGUUCGUAGGCGGCUUUGUGAGUCAGAGGUGAAAGCCCACGACUCAAUCGUGGAACUGCCUUUGAGACUGCUUCGCUUGAAGAUGGGAGAGGUUAGUGGAAUUCCGAGUGUAGAGGUGAAAUUCGUAGAUAUUCGGAAGAACACCGGUGGCGAAGGCGGCUAACUGGACCAUUCUUGACGCUGAGGAACGAAAGCGUGGGGAGCAAACAGG
rnacentral:rRNA from 1 species